GUGCUCGCUUUGGCAGCACAUAUACUAAAAUUGGAAUGGUACAGAGAAGAUUAGCAUGGCCCCGAGCAAGGAUGACAUGCGAAUUCAUGAAGCGUUCCAUAUUUUU
rnacentral:snRNA from 1 species